CGGGGGGGGCAAGCGUUGUUCGGAAUUACUGGGCGUAAAGGGCGCGUAGGCGGCCUGCUAAGUCGGACGUGAAAUCCCUCGGCUCAACCGGGGAACUGCGUCCGAUACUGGUGGGCUCGAAUCCGGGAGAGGGAUGUGGAAUUCCAGGUGUAGCGGUGAAAUGCGUAGAUAUCUGGAGGAACACCGGUGGCGAAGGCGGCAUCCUGGACCGGUAUUGACGCUGAUGCGCGAAAGCCAGGGGAGCAAACGGGAUUAGAUACCCCGGUAGUCCUGGCCCUAAACGAUGAGUGCUUGGUGUGGCGGGUAUCGAUCCCUGCCGUGCCGAAGCUAACGCAUUAAGCACUCCGCCUGGGGAGUACGGUCGCAAGGCUG
rnacentral:rRNA from 1 species